rnacentral:rRNA from 1 species
GUCGAGGAUCUUUUGCAAUGGGCGCAAGCCUGACAAAGCGACGCUGCGUGGAGGAUGAAGGCCUUCGGGUUGUAAACUCCUGUCAUUCGGGAAAAACGACUCCGUGACUAAUACUCAUGGGGAGUGAUGGUACCGGAAGAGGAAGCCACGGCUAACUCUGUGCCAGCAGCCGCGGUAAUACAGAGGUGGCGAGCGUUGUUCGGAUUUACUGGGCGUAAAGGGUGCGUAGGUGGUCUCGUAUGUCGGACGUGAAAUCCCGCGGCCUAACUGCGGAAUUGCAUUCGAAACUGCGAGACUAGAGUGCAGGAGAGGAGAGCGGAAUUCUUGGUGUAGCGGUGAAAUGCGUUGAUAUCAAGAAGAACACCGGUGGCGAAGGCGGCUCUCUGGAAUGCAACUGACACUGAGGCACGAAAGCUGGGGGAGCAAACAGGAUUAGAAACCCUGGUAGUCC